rnacentral:rRNA from 1 species
UACGUAGGGGGCUAGCGUUGUCCGGAAUCAUUGGGCGUAAAGCGCGUGUAGGCGGUCCGGUAAGUCCGCUGUGAAAGUCGAGGGCUCAACCUCGAAUGCCGGUGGAUACUGUCGGGCUAGAGUGCGGAAGAGGCGAGUGGAAUUCCUGGUGUAGCGGUGAAAUGCGCAGAUAUCAGGAGGAACACCGGUGGCGAAGGCGGGUCUCUGGGCCGAUACUGACGCUGAGGAGCGAAAGCGUGGGGAGCGAACAGG